CUUGCGCUCUCUGGUAUUCCGGAGAGCAUGCCUGUUUGAGUGUCAU
rnacentral:rRNA from 2 species